GGAGGGGUUCCCGAGCGGUCAAAGGGGGCAGACUGUAAAUCUGUUGGCUCAGCCUUCGGAGGUUCGAAUCCUCCUCCCUCCACCA
rnacentral:tRNA from 1 species